rnacentral:rRNA from 1 species
AUGAACGCUGGCGGCGUGCCUAAUCCAUGCAAGUCGAGCGAACAGACGAGGAGCUUGCUCCUCUGACGUUAGCGGCGGACGGGUGAGUAACACGUGGAUAACCUACCUAUAAGACUGGGAUAACUUCGGGAAACCGGAGCUAAUACCGGAUAAUAUAUUGAACCGCAUGGUUCAAUAGUGAAAGACGGUUUUGCUGUCACUUAUAGAUGGAUCCGCGCCGCAUUAGCUAGUUGGUAAGGUAACGGCUUACCAAGGCAACGAUGCGUAGCCGACCUGAGAGGGUGAUCGGCCACACUGGAACUGAGACACGGUCCAGACUCCUACGGGAGGCAGCAGUAGGGAAUCUUCCGCAAUGGGCGAAAGCCUGACGGAGCAACGCCGCGUGAGUGACGAAGGUCUUCGGAUCGUAAAACUCUGUUAUUAGGGAAGAACAAAUGUGUAAGUAACUAUGCACGUCUUGACGGUACCUAAUCAGAAAGCCACGGCUAACUACGUG